UACGGGGGGGGCAAGCGUUGUUCGGAAUUACUGGGCGUAAAGGGCUCGUAGGCGGCCAACUAAGUCGGACGUGAAAUCCCUCGGCUUAACCGGGGAACUGCGUCCGAUACUGGAUGGCUUGAGUUUGGGAGAGGGAUGCGGAAUUCCAGGUGUAGCGGUGAAAUGCGUAGAUAUCGGGAGGAACACCAGUGGCGAAGGCGACUAUCUGGGCUGAAACUGACGCUGAAACGCGAAAGCUAGGGGAGCGAACGGG
rnacentral:rRNA from 1 species